rnacentral:rRNA from 1 species
AUUGAACGCUGGCGGCAGGCCUAACACAUGCAAGUCGAACGAGUGGCGGACAGGUGAGUAGUGUCUGGGAAACUGCCUGAUGGAGGGGGAUAACUACUGCAAAGGGUAGCUAAUACCGCAUACCAUCGGAUGUGCACAGAUGGGAUUAGCUAGUAGGUGGGGUAAAGGCGCACCUAGGCGACGAUCCCUAGCUGGUCUGAGAGGAUGACCAGCCACACUGGAACUGAGACACGGUCCAGACUCCUACGGGAGGCAGCAGUGGGGAAUAUUGCACAAGGGGCGCAAGCCUGAUGCAGCCAUGCCGCGUGUAUGAAGAAGGCCUUCGGGUUGUAAAGUACUUUCAGCGGGGAGGCGUUACCCGCAGAAGAAGCACCGGCUAACUCCGUGCCAGCAGCCGCGGUAAUUC